UACGUAGGGUGCAAGCGUUGUCCGGAAUUAUUGGGCGUAAAGAGCUCGUAGGCGGUUUGUCGCGUCUGCUGUGAAAACUCAGGGCUUAACCCUGAGCUUGCAGUGGGUACGGGCAGGCUAGAGUGCGGUAGGGGAGACUGGAAUUCCUGGUGUAGCGGUGAAAUGCGCAGAUAUCAGGAGGAACACCGGUGGCGAAGGCGGGUCUCUGGGCCGUAACUGACGCUGAGGAGCGAAAGCAUGGGGAGCGAACAGG
rnacentral:rRNA from 1 species